rnacentral:rRNA from 1 species
UGGGGAAUUUUGGACAAUGGGCGAAAGCCUGAUCCAGCAAUGCCGCGUGUGUGAAGAAGGCCUUCGGGUUGUAAAGCACUUUUGUCCGGAAAGAAAUCCUUGGCUCUAAUACAGUCGGGGGAUGACGGUACCGGAAGAAUAAGCACCGGCUAACUACGUGCCAGCAGCCGCGGUAAUACGUAGGGUGCAAGCGUUAAUCGGAAUUACUGGGCGUAAAGCGUGCGCAGGCGGUUUGCUAAGACCGAUGUGAAAUCCCCGGGCUCAACCUGGGAACUGCAUUGGUGACUGGCAGGCUAGAGUAUGGCAGAGGGGGGUUAGAAUUCCACGUGUAGCAGUGAAAUGCGUAGAGAUGUGGAGGAAUACCGAUGGCGAAGGCAGCCCCCCUGGGCCAAUACUGACGCUCAUGCACGAAAGCGUGGGGAGCAAAGCAGGAUUAGAUACCCUGGUAGUCCACGCCCUAAACGAUGUCAACUAGUUGUUGGGGAUUCAUUUCCUUAGUAACGUAGCUAACGCGUGAAGUUGACCGCCUGGGGGAGUACGGUCGCAAGAUUAAAACUCAAAGGAAUUGACGGGGUCAUAGCUGUUUCCU